rnacentral:lncRNA from 1 species
UCUACUUGUCCUGCUUCGCGGACUCUAACCCACCAGCAGAAUAUUCUUGGACAAUUAAUGGGAAGUUUCAGCUAUCAGGACAAAAGCUCUUUAUCCCCCAGAUUACUACAAAGCAUAGCGGGCUCUAUGCUUGCUCUGUUCGUAACUCAGCCACUGGCAUGGAAAGCUCCAAAUCCAUGACAGUCAAAGUCUCUGCUCCUUCAGGAACAGGACAUCUUCCUGGCCUUAAUCCAUUAUAGCAGCCGUGAUGUCAUUUCUGUAUUUCAGGAAGACUGGCAGUUGCUUUCAUUCUUCCUCAAAGUAUUUACCAUCAGCUACAGUCCAAAAUUGCUUUUUGUUCAAGGAGAUUUAUGAAAAGACUCUGACAAGGACUCUUGAAUACAAGUUCCUGAUAACUUCAAGAUCAUACCACUGGACUAAGAACUUUCAAAAUUUUAAUGAACAGGCUGAUACUUCAUGAAAUUCAAGACAAAGAAAAAAACCCAAUUUUAUUGGACUAAAUAGUCAAAACAAUGUUUUCAUAAUUUUCUAUUUGAAAAUGUGCUGAUUCUUUGAAUGUUUUAUUCUCCAGAUUUAUGCACUUUUUUUCUUCAGCAAUUGGUAAAGUAUACUUUUGUAAACAAAAAUUGAAACAUUUGCUUUUGCUCCCUAAGUGCCCCAGAAUUGGGAAACUAUUCAGGAGUAUUCAUAUGUUUAUGGUAAUAAAGUUAUCUGCACAAGUUC